CAUUGGGGGCGUGCCUUAAUAGUGCAGGUCGAGCGGACAGAUGGGAGCUUGCUCCCUGAUGUUAGCGGCGGACGGGUGAGUAACACGUGGGUAACCUGCCUGUAAGACUGGGAUAACUCCGGGAAACCGGGGCUAAUACCGGAUGCUUGUUUGAACCGCAUGGUUCAAACAUAAAAGGUGGCUUCGGCUACCACUUACAGAUGGACCCGCGGCGCAUUAGCUAGUUGGUGAGGUAAUGGCUCACCAAGGCAACGAUGCGUAGCCGACCUGAGAGGGUGAUCGGCCACACUGGGACUGAGACACGGCCCAGACUCCUACGGGAGGCAGCAGUAGGGAAUCUUCCGCAAUGGACGAAAGUCUGACGGAGCAACGCCGCGUGAGUGAUGAAGGUUUUCGGAUCGUAAAGCUCUGUUGUUAGGGAAGAACAAGUACCGUUCGAAUAGGGCGGUACCUUGACGGUACCUAACCAGAAAGCCACGGCUAACUACGUGCCAGCAGCCGCGGUAAUACGUAGGUGGCAAGCGUUGUCCGGAAUUAUUGGGCGUAAAGGGCUCGCAGGCGGUUUCUUAAGUCUGAUGUGAAAGCCCCCGGCUCAACCGGGGAGGGUCAUUGGAAACUGGGGAACUUGAGUGCAGAAGAGGAGAGUGGAAUUCCACGUGUAGCGGUGAAAUGCGUAGAGAUGUGGAGGAACACCAGUGGCGAAGGCGACUCUCUGGUCUGUAACUGACGCUGAGGAGCGAAAGCGUGGGGAGCGAACAGG
rnacentral:rRNA from 1 species